GACGAACGCUGGCGGCGUGCCUAAUACAUGCAAGUAGAACGCUGAAGCGAGGAGCUUGCUCUUCUUGGAUGAGUUGCGAACGGGUGAGUAACGCGUAGGUAACCUGCCUUGUAGCGGGGGAUAACUAUUGGAAACGAUAGCUAAUACCGCAUAACAAUGGAUGACACAUGUCAUUUAUUUGAAAGGGGCAAUUGCUCCACUACAAGAUGGACCUGCGUUGUAUUAGCUAGUAGGUGAGGUAAUGGCUCACCUAGGCGACGAUACAUAGCCGACCUGAGAGGGGGAGGGGAGAAAGGGGAAAUGAGGCACGGUCGAGACAACGACGGGAGGCAGAAGUCGGGAAGGUGGAGAAAGGGGGGGAAGCCUGACGGAGAAAGGCAGGGGAAGAGAGGAAGGGUGAGGGAGAGUAAAAAGCGGUUAGGAGGGAAGAAAAAAGGUGGAAGUAAAUAUGCACGUCGGGACGGUAGAUAAUAAGAAAGGCACGGCUAACUACGGG
rnacentral:rRNA from 1 species